CCUUACUUUCGACUCUCUCCCAUGAAGCUGCUGCCCAGAACAGGGCUACUCGGUUGAUGAGCAAGUAGUAGAAGGAGCCUGUUGGGAAGAGGCUUCCAAAGACACAAUCAAGAAAACUACCAAGCCGUGCCCUCAUUGUCAAAUUCCGGUAGAGAAAAAUGGUGCCUUGACCAGAUUUCUUGAUUUGGGCCAAAGACCAGAAUAAGGCUGACAGUGACACAGAGGAAGGUGGAUAAAAGUUCUGUGUCUUUUGUAGUUGUCUACAAGUGCAGAGAGCCAUGCUGAGCACAGAGCAAAGCAUAUAAAACGUACACAGUCCUCUCCUCUGGGAGCUCACAACAUAAAGCAGGAUGCAUCCUAGAAGAUAAGAGUCUUCAGGGAGCGGAAGUGUUUGGUGAGGAAGUGUGAAGGACACGCAAGGCCUAUUCAACAGGAGCAUUCUAGAAGAUGUUGUGGAGAUGGAAAUAAAAUAAUCCCAAAACAAGUGAUGAGUAAAAAUAAAUGCCGAAUGAAUGAA